ACGUAGGGGGCGAGCGUUAUCCGGAUUUAUUGGGCGUAAAGCGCGCGUAGGCGGCGCUGUAAGUUGGGCGUGAAAGCUCUCGGCUUAACUGAGAGAGGUCGUUCAAAACUACAGCGAUUGAGGUUGGAAGAGGAGAGUGGAAUUUCAGGUGUAGUGGUGGAAUGCGUAGAUAUCUGAAGGAACACCAGUGGCGAAAGCGACUCUCUGGUCCACACCUGACGCUGAGGUGCGAAAGCGUGGGUAGCGAACGGG
rnacentral:rRNA from 1 species